rnacentral:lncRNA from 1 species
GGUGAGGCUUUGAAUUAAUUCGAGUCUUAUGGGUCAUAAAAAAUUAUCUAUAAAUAGAGAGGAUCUCUAACUAUCAUGGCAUAACAAUUGGAUUGCGUGCCAAGGUGAGAAAGAGAGAAAGAGGAGGCGUGAAGAUAGAGUGGGCGUCACCCUCUCCUUGGGUCUUCCUUUUGGGCAUCCCUCUUCUCCAAGGCAUGGAGCAUCUUGGGCAUUCCUCUUGCUUGUGUGAGACAUCACACUAGAGGCUCUCUCCCCUUCCCUUGUUGCCUUGUGAAGAUGCUUCAAUUCGAGGCUUCAUCUCGCUUUCCUAUGAAGUUUGACGUGUGCACGAAGUAGAGAAUUUGUGGAUUCAGACCUAUGUGAGGCUUUGAAUUCAGAAUCUUUGGAAUUUGAUCUCUAUUUUAUUGUGUAUCAGAUAAAGAUCUAAUCUUUAUUAAGCUAUUUAUAGAAAAUAAUUAGAUGCACCCUAGCUAUCCACUAUGUUUUUGAUAGAAACAGGCUUUCUUUCCCUUCAAUUGAUAUCAGAGCC